rnacentral:rRNA from 1 species
GACGAACGCUGGCGGCGUGCUUAACACAUGCAAGUCGAACGGAAAGGCCCUGCUUUUGUGGGGUGCUCGAGUGGCGAACGGGUGAGUAACACGUGAGUAACCUGCCCUUGACUUUGGGAUAACUUCAGGAAACUGGGGCUAAUACCGGAUAGGAGCUCCUGCUGCAUGGUGGGGGUUGGAAAGUUUCGGCGGUUGGGGAUUGACUCGCGGGUUAUCAGCUUGUUGGUGGGGUAGUGGCUUACCAAGGCUUUGACGGGUAGCCGGCCUGAGAGGGUGACCGGCCACAUUGGGACUGAGAGACGGCGCAGACUCCUACGGGAGGCAGCAGUGGGGAAUAUUGCACAAUGGGCGGAAGCCUGAUGCAGCAACGCCGCGUGCGUGAUGACGGCCUUCGGGUUGUAAACCGCUUUCGCCUGUGACGAAGCGUGAGUGACGGUAAUGGGUAAAGAAGCACCGGCUAACUACGUG